GAUUAUGCUCACAUCACACCGAGAACGCCAGCUUCCUUCUGAUCACCGAAAUUUAGCAAUCUCCAGCUUGGUUAGUAUUUAGAUGGGUGACAGCUUGGAAAACACAGGUGAUAUAAGUA
rnacentral:rRNA from 1 species